UACAGAGGUCCCAAGCGUUGUUCGGAUUCACUGGGCGUAAAGGGUGCGUAGGUGGUGAACUAAGUCGGGUGUGAAAUCUCCGGGCUCAACCCGGAGGGUGCGCCCGAAACUGGCUCGCUAGAGGGUGGGAGGGGAGACUGGAAUUCUCGGUGUAGCAGUGAAAUGCGUAGAGAUCGUAAGGAAGACCAGUGGCGAAGGCGGGUCUCUGGACAGUUCCUGACACUGAGGCACGAAGGCCAGGGGAGCAAACGGG
rnacentral:rRNA from 1 species